rnacentral:rRNA from 1 species
GAGUUUGAUCCUGGCUCAGAGUGAACGCUGGCGGCAGGCCUAACACAUGCAAGUCGAACGGCAGCACAGAGGAGCUUGCUCCUUGGGUGGCGAGUGGCGGACGGGUGAGGAAUGCAUCGGAAUCUGCCUAUUUGUGGGGGAUAACGUAGGGAAACUUACGCUAAUACCGCAUACGUCCUACGGGAGAAAGUGGGGGACCUUCGGGCCUCACGCAGAUAGAUGAGCCGAUGCCGGAUUAGCUAGUUGGCGGGGUAAAGGCCCACCAAGGCGACGAUCCGUAGCUGGUCUGAGAGGAUGAUCAGCCACACUGGAACUGAGACACGGUCCAGACUCCUACGGGAGGCAGCAGUGGGGAAUAUUGGACAAUGGGCGCAAGCCUGAUCCAGCCAUGCCGCGUGAGUGAAGAAGGCC